rnacentral:rRNA from 1 species
AUUGAACGCUGGCGGCAGGCCUAACACAUGCAAGUCGAACGGUAACAGGAAGCAGCUUGCUGCUUUGCUGACGAGUGGCGGACGGGUGAGUAAUGUCUGGGAAACUGCCCGAUGGAGGGGGAUAACUACUGGAAACGGUAGCUAAUACCGCAUAACGUCGCAAGACCAAAGAGGGGGACCUUAGGGCCUCUUGCCAUCGGAUGUGCCCAGAUGGGAGUAGCUAGUAGGUGGGGUAACGGCUCACCUAGGCGACGAUCCCUAGCUGGUCUGAGAGGAUGACCAGCCACACUGGAACUGAGACACGGUCCAGACUCCUACGGGAGGCAGCAGUGGGGAAUAUUGCACAAUGGGCGCAAGCCUGAUGCAGCCAUGCCGCGUGUAUGAAGAAGGCCUUCGGGUUGUAAAGUACUUUCAGCGGGGAGGAAGGGAGUAAAGUUAAUACCUUGGCUCAUUGACGUUACCCGCAGAAGAAGCACCGGCUAACUCCGUG